rnacentral:rRNA from 1 species
ACGGCUCAGUAACACGUGGAUAACCUGCCCUAAGGUGGAGGAUAACCCCGGGAAACUGGGGAUAAUACUCCAUAGGUUAAAGAUACUGGAAUGUUCUUUAGCCGAAAGUUCCGGCGCCUUAGGAUGGAUCUGCGGCCGAUUAGGUUGUUGUUGGGGUAGUGGCCCAACAAGCCUGUAAUCGGUACGGGUUGUGGGAGCAAGAGCCCGGAGAUGGAAUCUGAGACACGAUUCCAGGCCCUACGGGGCGCAGCAGGCGCGAAAACUUUACAAUGCAGGAAACUGUGAUAAGGGAACCCCGAGUGCCCGUAUAUGCGGGCUGUCCGGAUGUUUAAAACGCAUCCGAAGAAAGGGCCGGGCAAGACCGGUGCCAGCCGCCGCGGUAAUACCGGCGGCUCGAGUGGUGGCCACUUUUAUUGGGCUUAAAGCGUUCGUAGCUUGAAUAAUAAGUCUCUUGGGAAAUCUGCAGGCUUAACCUGCAGGCGUUUAAGAGAAACUGUUGUUCUAGGAACCGGAAGAGGUGAGAGGUACUCCGGGGGUAGGAGUGAAAUCCUGUAAUCCCCGGGGGACCACCGAUGGCGAAGGCAUCUCACCAGGACGGCUUCGACAGUGAGGAACGAAAGCUGGGGGAGCGAACCGGAUUAGAUACCCGGGUAGUCCCAGCCGUAAACGAUGUGCGUUAGGUGUGCCGGUGACCACGAGUCACUGGGGUGCCGAAGGGAAACCGUGAAACGUACCGCCUGGGAAGUACGGUCGCAAGGCUGAAACUUAAAGGAAUUGGCGGGGAAAGCAC